GCGUCUGUAGCCUAGUUGGUAAAGGCAGCACUCUAGUAUGUGUCUCAGCAUAGCUGAGGUUGUGAGUUCGACUCUCAUCAGACACA
rnacentral:tRNA from 1 species